rnacentral:rRNA from 1 species
UACGAAGGGGGGCUAGCGUUGCUCGGAAUUACUGGGCGUAAAGCGCACGUAGGCGGCUUUCUAAGUCGGGGGGUGAAAUCCUGGAGCUCAACUCCAGAACUGCCUUCGAUACUGGAGAGCUUGAGUCCGGGAGAGGUGAGUGGAACUGCGAGUGUAGAGGUGAAAUUCGUAGAUAUUCGGAGGAACACCAGUGGCGAAGGCGGCUCACUGGUCCAUUACUGACGCUGAGGUGCGAAAGCGUGGGGAGCAAACAGG